GCCAAAUUCACGCUGAUAUGUGACAGAAACGUCGAUUCAAAGCUUGACGUCAUAGGCGAAGAUCAAAAUAAUAUAAAUGUCCACACAUUCAAACUUACCACCAAAUACGCAUGCGUAGGCAAAAGUGGGCCGUCUGGCGGCGGACUGAGCGGGGGAACCAUUCUGAUUAUAAUAUUUAUCUUAGUAGCAUUUCUGUAUUUUUUCCUUGGCAUGUUUGUAAUGGUGGCGUACUACAAGGCACGUGGUACUGACAUGAUCCCCAAUAAAAACUUUUGGAUGGGA